rnacentral:misc_RNA from 1 species
AGGGGACUGCAUCCAUGGGAUUGAUUGGAUUGCAUAUGCAUCUUCUAAGCUUGAAAUUUAAAUCAUAAUUGCAGAGAAACCCACCCACCUUUAUCUCGUCUGGUGGAGUCAUUUUGUCAUGUUCCUAAUUCAGGUAAACUAGACCAGAGGUGUGGCUGUUUUAUGUCUUAUUUCCAUCAAUAAUGCAUUGCCACUUCCACUAUGAUGCCAGAGUGAUUUGUCAGACGCCAUAUCAAAUCUUACCUUAUGACCGCCUUAAGCCAAGGACACGAGGUAUACAAUUCAAAUUGUCAAGUCACUGGCUCAUAAAUUUUUAGUCUCGCAUGGUGCCUCCAUAUAUGUCAAUAGUGAAUCACUUAACCUAUACUUCUUAAA